GUGAAUGGCGCGUGCUAUACAUGCAGUCGAGCGAAUGGAUUAAGAGCUUGCUCUUAUGAAGUUAGCGGCGGACGGGUGAGUAACACGUGGGUAACCUGCCCAUAAGACUGGGAUAACUCCGGGAAACCGGGGCUAAUACCGGAUAACAUUUUGAACCGCAUGGUUCGAAAUUUGAAAGGCGGCUUCGGCUGUCACUUAUGGAUGGACCCGCGUCGCAUUAGCUAGUUGGUGAGGUAACGGCUCACCAAGGCAACGAUGCGUAGCCGACCUGAGAGGGUGAUCGGCCACACUGGGACUGAGACACGGCCCAGACUCCUACGGGAGGCAGCAGUAGGGAAUCUUCCGCAAUGGACGAAAGUCUGACGGAGCAACGCCGCGUGAGUGAUGAAGGCUUUCGGGUCGUAAAACUCUGUUGUUAGGGAAGAACAAGUGCUAGUUGAAUAAGCUGGCACCUUGACGGUACCUAACCAGAAAGCCACGGCUAACUACGUGCCAA
rnacentral:rRNA from 1 species